rnacentral:tRNA from 1 species
GCGGUUGUGGCUCAGUGUUAGAGUGCUUACCUAGCAUGCAUGAGGACCUGGGUUCAAUCCUCAGCACCACA